rnacentral:ncRNA from 1 species
UUGAGCCGUAUGCGGGGGAACUCGCACGUGCGGUUCUUGGGGGGGGGAGAGCUAAAAGGCCUAAAUAGAGAGGGAGUUGAGAAAUCAUCGACGGGAAUGAGACUAUGGCCGAGAAUAAGUCAUCGUGGCAGUAACUCUACCUAGAA